rnacentral:rRNA from 1 species
AAACUCAAAGGAAUUGACGGGACCCCGCACAAGCGGUGGAUUAUGUUGUUAAUUCGACGCAACGCGAAGAACCUUACCAGGCCUUGACAUACUCGGCAAAGCUCUAGAGAUAGAGUGGAGGUUAUCCGGGAUACAGGUGGUGCAUGGUUGUCGUCAGCUCGUGUCGUGAGAUGUUGGGUUAAGUCCCGCAACGAGCGCAACCCUUGUCUUUAGUUACCAUCAUUCAGUUGGGGACUCUAGAGAGACUGCCGGUGAUAAACCGGAGGAAGGUGGGAUGACGUCAAAUCAUCAUGCCCCUUAUGGCCUGGGCUACAAACGUAAUACAAUGGCGUAUACAAAGGGAUGCGAAAGGGCGACCUGGAGCAAAACUCACAAAGUACGUCUCAGUUCAGAUUGCAGUCUGCAACUCGACUGCAUGAAGUUGGAGUUGCUAGUAACCGCAGGUCAGCAAUACUGCGGUGAAUACGUUCCCGGGUCUU